rnacentral:rRNA from 1 species
UACGAAGGGGGCUAGCGUUGCUCGGAAUCACUGGGCGUAAAGGGCUCGUAGGUGGCCAACUAAGUCAGACGUGAAAUCCCUCGGCUUAACCGGGGAACUGCGUCUGAUACUGGAUGGCUGGAGUAUGGGAGAGGAAUGCGGAAUUCCAGGUGUAGCGGUAAAAUGCGUAGAUAUCUGGAGGAACACCGGUGGCGAAGGCGGCAUUCUGGACCAUUACUGACGCUGAGGAGCGAAAGCCAGGGGAGCAAACGGG